UACGUAGGUGGCGAGCGUUGUCCGGAAUUACUGGGCGUAAAGGGUGCGUAGGCGGCUCUUUAAGUGAGGUGUGAAAGCCCUGGGCUUAACCCAGGAGUUGCACUUCAAACUGGAGAGCUAGAGUGCAGGAGAGGAAAGUGGAAUUCCCAGUGUAGCGGUGAAAUGCGUAGAGAUUGGGAGGAACACCAGUGGCGAAGGCGACUUUCUGGACUGUAACUGACGCUGAGGCACGAGAGCGUGGGGAGCAAACAGG
rnacentral:rRNA from 1 species